UUGAAAGAAGAUUUAAAGCCUAAAAAGUCAUUAUGAAAUGGAGGACUCAAGGACUAAAGGAGCAACCUCCCUCACCCUUGAUUUUCUCUUCCUGCUUUUAGAUGUCCAAUGCAACGUACAGAUAACUGUACUGCGCAUCACCAAUUGUACACAAAGCACUAAUUGACAUAAGUAACCCUUCUUUUCCUCAGGUUCUCCGUUGUCUGGGUCUCUCUUUUUAACAACCAGAAAAAAAUCAAUUACCUCUUGUGCUCAAUGACUGAAGAAAUUCGUGUUUGGAUGGUAGAUUUCUCCCUGUGAUGAAAUAUACGUAAUUUCAAGAAUUCAUGGAAACCUCGGGAGUAUACUUCUUUGGAGGAAAUGGUAGAACUCUAAGAUCUUCUCGGCUUUCUUAUAACUCCAAACUUGCAAAGGAUCUCUGGGAUGAUUCAUCUCAAAUUUUCCUUGAACGACAGCUUGCUUAUCAGGAUACAACUUGACCAGAGAUAUUAACCUGGCAACUUUCCUCCAAGUAUGCAUGAAGCAUGAACUUGAGUUUUGAUUAAAAAAAAAAAAAAAACAUGUUUUCUAUACAUUUUGGAAGAGGUUCAAGUUAGUAUCUUGAUGUUUUAAUUACCUUUGUAAGUCCUGUUUAUGUUAGUAGUUAUUAAAGUAAGGCAAGUAUUCAGCCAUUAUUAAUUUUUA